UCCCUGAUGGCCUAGUGGUUAAGACUUUGCCUUCCAAGUCAGGGGGUGCAGGUUUGAUCCCUGGUCAGGGAG
rnacentral:tRNA from 1 species